GCAGAAGAAGGGCCUCAUUCAGUGCUUCCAUCAGUACCACCAGGCUAUUUCCAAGGGUUUUGGUCCCCUGCACCAUAAGUGAUGUUCCUCACAUGAGUAAACGUUGGGUCAAUGAGUAAAAGUGGGCUGAGUGUCAUUUGUCCCGAGCCACAAGGUGCUCCCAGCUCUGGCGUCUCCUGGUAGUGUCCCAGCUCUGUGUGUUCCCACAACUGGGAUCUUACCACCACAACCAGGAUCUUACCACCACAACUGGGAUUUGCCAUCAGAAUGGGCUUAGAGGAGCCUCAGGACUGUAUGGGAAAGCACUUUGCAGCCUUUGUGGCAACAUCAAGUCCUUCCGCUUGCAAACAUAAAGGUAACUGCUUUCAAACUACAGCUUGGUUUUGAAGUCUAAGUAUCGUCAAUGAUUACUAACACAACAUGACUUAAUUAAGGUAACACAAGUCACUUAGGAUAGCUUAUGCAUCUUAUUUGUACCAUUUUCACUUAUGUAAGAGUUUCUGAUCACACUGGGGAGAGAGUUGGCCCUAUGAGAGCUCUCAGUGGGUCAACAGCACCUGUUGAGUAGUGGACUCUCAGCUCAUACCUUAUAUUUAAACAAAUAAACAAAACCAAACAGUCCAUCAUUUACCAUUGAAAGAAAUACAAUAUUCAGAGGAGCACCAAGCUAAUCCAUGGCAUGAAUCACAGUUUAUUGUUUAGAUACCUGAUUUUAACGAACAGCUGGAGAGACAAAGCCAGGUGCUCCGAGUUCAGCCUUCACGAGACUAUGGCUUUUUUCUUCAAGCUGACCUAUGGUGCAGAUGAAGAAGUGCUUCUCUCCAAGUUUCUGUAACUCUCCCAACACGGUACAUUGCACCACAUGCUGAGCAAAGGGGCUUGGUUACUAACAGUGCGGUCACUACGUUACACCUGGACACAACAUUUCAGUCCUAAGAAUCCUGCAGAGUCUCAUGAACAGCAACAGUGAAAAAGCACGUGAGGUUUGCCUGCCAGUUCAUAUUGCAGUGAACUGGAAAGGGAAGAGGUUGACCAGGGGCAGCCAAAGAAAUGUAUUGUUUUAUGAGAAAUGCUGUGGAAUCUUUAAUAUCACACCAGAGGCCCAAGUCUGUAUUGGAGAAAUAUGGUCUGCUAACUGCCAGCUGGAUCUCCCAGCUAAUGUUUACAUAUCAGGGGUGAAUCAUCCAUUUUCGUGGUCUUCUCUGAAAGGUCCCAAUGUAGGUUGCAAUGUGUAAAAUUCAAGUUAUUUAUUUUGGAAAGAUAAAAGCACUUUGGUUGACCAGGCUGGGAUUUGAGUGUACAGCUCAAAGGAGUCUGUAUGUUUACAAAUAAUCUUGGAUCAUUAAAUCUGCUCUGAAUG
ensembl:lncRNA